rnacentral:rRNA from 1 species
GAUGAACGCUGGCGGCGUGCCUAAUACAUGCAAGUCGAGCGAACAGACGAGGAGCUUGCUCCUCUGACGUUAGCGGCGGACGGGUGAGUAACACGUGGAUAACCUACCUAUAAGACUGGGAUAACUUCGGGAAACCGGAGCUAAUACCGGAUAACAUGUUGAACCGCAUGGUUCAACAGUGAAAGACGGUCUUGCUGUCACUUAUAGAUGGAUCCGCGCCGCAUUAGCUAGUUGGUAAGGUAACGGCUUACCAAGGCAACGAUGCGUAGCCGACCUGAGAGGGUGAGCGGCCACACUGGAACUGAGACACGGUCCAGACUCCUACGGGAGGCAGCAGUAGGGAAUCUUCCGCAAUGGGCGAAAGCCUGACGGAGCAACGCCGCGUGAGUGAAGAAGGUCUUCGGAUCGUAAAACUCUGUUAUUAGGGAAGAACAAAUGUGUAAGUAACUAUGCACGUCUUGACGGUACCUAAUCAGAAAGCCACGGCUAACUACGUG